rnacentral:rRNA from 1 species
UACGUAGGGUGCGAGCGUUAAUCGGAAUUACUGGGCGUAAAGCGUGCGCAGGCGGUAAUGUAAGACAGUUGUGAAAUCCCCGGGCUCAACCUGGGAACUGCAUCUGUGACUGCAUUGCUGGAGUACGGUAGAGGGGGAUGGAAUUCCGCGUGUAGCAGUGAAAUGCGUAGAUAUGCGGAGGAACACCGAUGGCGAAGGCAAUCCCCUGGACCUGUACUGACGCUCAUGCACGAAAGCGUGGGGAGCAAACAGG